rnacentral:rRNA from 1 species
UACGUAGGGUGCGAGCGUUGUCCGGAAUUAUUGGGCGUAAAGAGCUUGUAGGCGGUUUGUCGCGUCUGCCGUGAAAAUCCGGGGCUCAACCCCGGACUUGCGGUGGGUACGGGCAGACUAGAGUGUGGUAGGGGAGACUGGAAUUCCUGGUGUAGCGGUGAAAUGCGCAGAUAUCAGGAGGAACACCGGUGGCGAAGGCGGCUAUCUGGACCGACAUUGACGCUGAGGCGCGAAAGCGUGGGGAGCAAACAGG